rnacentral:rRNA from 2 species
UGGGGAAUAUUGGACAAUGGGCGAAAGCCUGAUCCAGCAAUGCCGCGUGAGUGAUGAAGGCCUUAGGGUUGUAAAGCUCUUUUACCCGGGAUGAUAAUGACAGUACCGGGAGAAUAAGCCCCGGCUAACUCCGUGCCAGCAGCCGCGGUAAUACGGAGGGGGCUAGCGUUGUUCGGAAUUACUGGGCGUAAAGCGCACGUAGGCGGCUUUGCAAGUUAGAGGUGAAAGCCCGGGGCUCAACUCCGGAAUUGCCUUUAAAACUGCAUCGCUAGAAUUGUGGAGAGGUAAGUGGAAUUCCGAGUGUAGAGGUGAAAUUCGUAGAUAUUCGGAAGAACACCAGUGGCGAAGGCGACUUACUGGACACAUAUUGACGCUGAGGUGCGAAAGCGUGGGGAGCAAACAGG